AUGCCUCUACAUUUCUGAGCUUCCCAGGUUCUUUAUUUCUUUACUUGUUUAUCCUCUGGUAGUGCUUGCUAACAGCAGAAUGUGACCUUCACUCUUGUUCUGGAGCUAUCGGCAUGUGGCCCUCCUGCCCACAGGGCUGCUCCCUUCAGUUUUGCACAGUUCCGUGUCAGAGCCUCAGAUGCUAGAGGACUUACCUCACCUUUUAGAUAUCUACACAGAUGUCUUCUCACGGACCAUUACUUCUGCAAAUGCAUAUGCCCUGUUUUUGUCAACAGAAUUUGAAUCGUCUGCUCUAGAGAGGCCACCAGUUCAUGGCUGAGGAUGUGAUGGGACUGCUGGAAGAUUCCUUCAGCAUUUGAUUUGUACCUGUCUGUUUUCUUAAACUAGUAAUAUCUAUUUUCCUGAAUAAAUAUGGUUAGCUACUUCA
rnacentral:lncRNA from 1 species